rnacentral:rRNA from 1 species
GACGAACGCUGGCGGCGUGCUUAACACAUGCAAGUCGAACGAAGUGGCGAACGGGUGAGUAACGCGUAAUCAACCUGCCCUUCAGAGGGGGACAACAGUUGGAAACGACUCCUAAUACCGCAUACUGAAGGGGGGGUUGGCGUGGGAUUAGCUAGUGGGGGGGGUAACGGCCAACCAAGGCGAUGAUCAGUAGCCGGGCUGAGAGGAAGAACGGCCAAAUUUGGACUGGGACACGGCCCCGACUCCUUCGGGGGGCAGCAGUGGGGAAUCUUCCGCAAUGGACGAAAGUCUGACGGAGCAACGCCGCGUGAGUGAUGACGGCCUUCGGGUUGUAAAGCUCUGUUAAUCGGGACGCGGUACCGGAAUAGAAAGCCACGGCUAACUACGUGCCAGCCGCCGCGGUAAUUC